rnacentral:tRNA from 1 species
GCAGAUAUGACGAAAUUGGUAAACGUGUUAAAUUUAGAAUUUAAUAAAAAUAUUUUUUGAAGGUUCAAAUCCUUCUAUCUGCA